rnacentral:rRNA from 1 species
GACGAACGCUGGCGGCGUGCCUAAUACAUGCAAGUCGAGCGGACUUUCAAGAAGCUUGCUUUUUGAAAGUUAGCGGCGGACGGGUGAGUGACACGUGGGCAACCUGCCUGUAAGACGGGGAUAACUCCGGGAAACCGGGGCUAAUACCGGAUAAUAUCUUUCUUCGCAUGAAGGAAGGUUGAAAGGCGGCGCAAGCUGCCGCUUGCAGAUGGGCCCGCGGCGCAUUAGCUAGUUGGUGAGGUAACGGCUCACCAAGGCGACGAUGCGUAGCCGACCUGAGAGGGUGAUCGGCCACACUGGGACUGGGACACGGCCCAGACUCCUACGGGAGGCAGCAGUAGGGAAUCUUCCGCAAUGGACGAAAGUCUGACGGAGCAACGCCGCGUGAGCGAAGAAGGUCUUCGGAUCGUAAAGCUCUGUUGUCAGGGAAGAACAAGUACCGUUCGAAUAGGGCGGUACCUUGACGGUACCUGACCAGAAAGCCACGGCUAACUACGUGCCAGCCGCCGCAGUAA